ACAGAUUCCAUUCCCAGCACCAGGUCUCMUCCCUGGAAAAUCAAUGGAAGUCAAGGCAGCUUAAGAGUGGAUCUGUCCUUGAAGGUUAGAACAUCCAAGCAUUUGAAAAUGUGGGACAUACAAACCUCACAACAGAUGACAUGAUCCAAUGCAUCACCAAGACAUCAAGGAAAAUUAAGCUCAGGAUGAGUCUCAAGGUCUGUGCAAUUACUCACCAUUCCUGCACAUAGGCAGUCUGUGAAGAAGCUGUUUCUAGGACUCUGCUGCUUGACAAGUCCCUAAAAUCAUUAUGGAAUUGCAAGCUAAAGCCGAGRCACAUCCAUUCAGCAGUGACUCGCUGUGCAGCCUGGGCAAGUGUUCCUUAGUUCAGGAAGAGGUGAAUGGGGCAGUGAUGGUUCUCAGCCUCAUAAAACACUUCAAGAACUUACUGUAAAGGAAGUAUUUCUGCCACUACAAUCUCUUYCCUGCCUCCUUCCUAGCCCAGUAACACAGUAAGAACAAAGGACUAAAGUCCUGCAGAAAAGAAACUCUUCCUGCUCACCAUCUGUUUGUAUCAGAUAUUGGAACCUCUGCCCAUCCCUUCCUGACACAUCUGUUUAUGUGCUGCUUUAUCAAYGCAGAAGCCAAAUUGCAGGAAAUCAGACGGUUGCUUUGGACAAGAUGAUAAGCUGUUGCACAACCUUAUGAGUUUCGUCUCACACACUGCAAACUGAGUUUCUGGAAAGAUCUGUCUGCAAUAGAACUGCCACAGUAUAUAUGCAUUUUCCCCACUGCUAGAAGCAAAUCCCAUCAUUCUACCAUUYCAAGAGAAUGUGAAGAGAGAAAGAUAGAAGAAAAGUAAGCAGAGAAAGAAAUUAAAAAAGAAGCAUGGAGUAGAGAGAUAAUUCAGUUAGUUAAAGGAGAGCAAGGAGAGUGCAGUGGGAGAGGGAAGGAGGGUCCUCUAGGGCUAAGCAUUUGCCACAUGGGAGCCUGUAGGCUUCAGUCACAUUUGUCAGCCCUCAUCUUCUGUAACAAGAAGGUAAUUCUCCUGGGACCAUGUGCUGCUCUGAAAUGGCUUGCUGGGACACUGCACCMGGGUGGCCCUCGAGCACCUCCAUUAGCAGCGUCUCUUGGCAUGGCCCUGAUUGUGCAGGGAAGGUAAAAUGUGGCACUCCCUGUGAGUCAGCUCUCCUUGUGUUCACACCAUCAAACACUACAUUGCAUCAGAGUUGCCUGUCCCUACAGCCGUGUCACAGCACCRGUGUGAGAU